GGCUGAUGUACCUAUUGGCAGUGGCUCGGCCCAAAUGACUCUUGAGGUGGUUGUGACCGCUCCCCCAGCAUGCCUUUUACCAGUGCCAGUCACUCCCCAGCCCCUGGGAAGGUCUGAGACUAGGGCCAUGCAUGGCCCUAGCGGGGCCCUCCCCUAGUGGGGAGGUGAGUUCCCAGAGAGCAGGGCUCCGUGUGGGGGCCGACUGGGCAGGAGAGGCUGUGCUAGGCUGGCAGAUGCCCCCCCCUGCCGGAGCUUGGAACAGACUCAUGGCCAGCCAGUGAGUUCAAUCACUGAGGUGAGGCACGCAGGCCUCAUAACCCAAUUUAGACUACUCUCCCACGUC
rnacentral:RNase_P_RNA from 1 species